rnacentral:rRNA from 1 species
AGGACGAACGCUGGCGGCGUGCUUAACACAUGCAAGUCGAGCGGUAAGGCCUUUCGGGGUACACGAGCGGCGAACGGGUGAGUAACACGUGGGUGAUCUGCCCUGCACUUCGGGAUAAGCCUGGGAAACUGGGUCUAAUACCGGAUAUGACCUCAGGUUGCAUGACUUGGGGUGGAAAGAUUUAUCGGUGCAGGAUGGGCCCGCGGCCUAUCAGCUUGUUGGUGGGGUAAUGGCCUACCAAGGCGACGACGGGUAGCCGACCUGAGACGGGUGACCGGGCCAACGACGUCGGGACUGGAGACACGGCCCAGACUCCUACGGGAGGCAGCAGUGGGGAAUAUUGCACAAUGGGCGAAAGCCUGAUGCAGCGACGCCGCGUGAGGAUGACGGCCUUCGGGUUGUAAACCUCUUUCAGCAGGACGAAGCGCAAGUGACGGUACCUGCAGAAGAAGCAACCGGCUAACUACGUGCCAGCAGCCGC